UACGAAGGGGGCUAGCGUUGUUCGGAAUUACUGGGCGUAAAGCGCACGUAGGCGGGUUUGUAAGUAGGGGGUGAAAUCCCAGAGCUCAACUCUGGAACUGCCUUCUAAACUGCAAGCCUGGAGGUCAGGAGAGGCGAGUGGAAUACCGAGUGUAGAGGUGAAAUGCGCAGAUAUCAGGAGGAACACCGGUGGCGAAGGCGGGUCUCUGGGCCGAUACUGACGCUGAGGAGCGAAAGCGUGGGGGAGCGAACAGG
rnacentral:rRNA from 1 species